rnacentral:rRNA from 1 species
GAGGGUGCAAGCGUUAAUCGGAAUUAUUGGGCGUAAAGGGCUUGUAGGUUGUUCUAUAAGUUAGAUGUGAAAACCCUGGGCUUAACCUGGGACGUGCAUUUAAUACUGUAGGGCUAGAGUAUAGUAGAGGAGUAGGGAAUUCCUGGUGUAGCAGUGAAAUGCGUAGAGAUCAGGAGGAACAUCAGUGGCGAAGGCGCUACUCUGGACUAAUACUGACACUGAGGAGCGAAGGCGUGGGGAGCAAACAGGAUUAGAUACCCUGGUAGUCCACGCGGUAAACGAUGAAUACUAGCCGAUGGGGGGUUAAACCCUUAGUGGCGCAGCUAACGCGAUAAGUAUUCCGCCUGGGAAGUACGGCCGCAAGGUUA